rnacentral:rRNA from 1 species
AACGAGCGCUGGCGGCGUGCCUAACACAUGCAAGUCGUGCGAGAAAAGGGGGGCAACUCCCUGAGUAAAGCGGCGCACGGGUGAGUAACACGUAGGUAAUCUACCCUCGAGUCCAGGAUAACCCGCCGAAAGGUGAGCUAAUACCGGAUAUGACCACGGGAGUUUCGGCUCCUGCGGUGAAAGGUGGCCUCUGCUUGCAAGCUACCGCUCGGAGAUGAGCCUGCGGGCCAUUAGCUAGUUGGUGAGGUAACGGCUCACCAAGGCGAUGAUGGCUAGCUGGUCUGAGAGGAUGGCCAGCCACACUGGGACUGAAACACGGCCCAGACUCCUACGGGAGGCAGCAGUGGGGGAUAUUGCGCAAUGGGCGAAAGCCUGACGCAGCGACGCCGCGUGGGUGAUGAAGGCCUUCGGGUCGUAAAGCCCUGUCGAGGGGAACGAAACGGUCUCGACCCAAUACGUCGAGGCCCUGACGGUACCCCUAAAGGAAGCACCGGCUAACUCCGUGCCAGCAGCCGCGGUAAUACGGAGGGUGCAAGCGUUGUUCGGAAUCACUGGGCGUAAAGGGCGUGUAGGCGGUCCGCUAAGUCUGAUGUGAAAGCCCGGGGCUCACCCCCGGAAGGGCAUUGGAAACUGGCGGACUCGAGUCCCGGAGAGGAAGGUGGAAUUCCUGGUGUAGCGGUGAAAUGCGUAGAUAUCAGGAGGAAUACCGGUGGCGAAGGCGGCCUUCUGGACGGUGACUGACGCUGAGACGCGAAAGCGUGGGGAGCAAAUAGGAUUAGAUACCCUGGUAGUCCACGCUGUAAACGAUGAGCACUAGGUGUCCGUGGGUAUUGACCCCCGCGGUGCCGACGCUAACGCAUUAAGUGCUCCGCCUGGGGACUACGGCCGCAAGGUU